rnacentral:lncRNA from 1 species
UAAAAAGGUAGUUGUAAUCCCUAUUUCAUUCCCUAGAGAGUUAAUUCGUCAUAUGUUCAUCCUAACCUAUGAUGUAUUUUUCUCCCUUUAGUAUUCUAUCUAGUAAAUGGUAGAUAUAAAUCCUACUUCUCCCCUCAGAGUUAAUCCUUGAUAUGUUCGUCCUAACCGAUGACGGAUUUCUUACCUUUGUGGUCUUCUGCCUAGUAACCGGUAGUUGUAAACCUUGUUUCCCCCUGCUGAGUCUAUCCUUGAUGUGUUC